rnacentral:rRNA from 1 species
CCUACGGGUGGCAGCAGUGAGGAAUAUUGGUCAAUGGGCGAGAGCCUGAACCAGCCAAGUCGCGUGAAGGAUGACGGCCCUACGGGUUGUAAACUUCUUUUGUCAGGGAGCAAUUUAGUCCACGUGUGGUCUUAGCGAGAGAACCUGAAGAAAAAGCACCGGCGAACUCCGUCCCAGCAGCGGCGGAAAUACGGAGGAUGCGAGGUUUAUCUGGAUUUUUGGGGUUAAAGGGGUGCGUAGGCGGAUUAUCAGGUCAGCGGUAAAAUUUCGGGGCCAAACCCCGUCGUGCCGUUGAAACUGGUGUUCUUGAGUGGGCGAGAAGUAUGCGGAAUGCGUGGUGUAGCGGUGAAAUGCAUAGAUAUCACGCAGAACUCCGAUUGCGAAGGCAGCAUACCGGCGCCCAACUGACGCUGAAGCACGAAAGCGUGGGUAUCGAACAGGAUUAGAUACCCCGGUAGUC